GCCAGAGGGACACAGCCGGGGCUGGAGGGGUGACCGAGGCGACGGAGGGAUGGCAGGGACAGAGCGAGGCCCCCAGGGAGAGGGAGGCAGGAGGAGGGAUCAGAGAUGGAGGGACCGGGCGCUGGGGCAGGAAGAGACACACAUUGAGAGGGGAGGCUGGGAUGCCAGAGACCCAGAGAGAACAAGAGAGAGGAAGAGAAAAAGAGAGACAGCGGAUCUAAGGAGAGAGAUGAGAAAUGGACCUGGGGCGGAGGGGCACAAGGCGGGGGCGCAGAAAGAGGAAAACACAGACUUAAUUAAAACAAAAUAUCGCCAUGGCAGCUAGCUGUCCGCCCAGGCCCUUCCCGCUCCCCUGGUACCCGGAAAAGGGUCCUCUGGCCCCUGUUGAGACUCUGGCUGGGCGCUCUCGGCAUCCCCACCCCCCACCCCGGGGGGAACCUGAGAGGUGGGGCGGAGCUGGGGGUGGGAUGGAGAUUGGGGAAACGGAGGUGUUGGGGCUGUGGGUACCUGGGGAACCGCAGCUGGCGGGAAGUGGGCGGGACCCUAAGACGCCUCCCUCUCCUCAUCUCUGAGGCCCUGCUGUCCUCUCAGGGAGGCCCAGCGCCUCGAUCUCUGCGGACCCCGUCUUGGGCCCAGCCUAAGUUAAAAUCCAGCCUUCCUGGCCCUUAUCUGUGCUGUGAGGUCGGGCAAGUCACCCCAGUCCUGCAAAUCCCACUAACUCUGUGGUCAGAGCUCUCCCACCUGACAGUGGGGUCAGGGGCAGCCCUGUUACAGAAAAGGAAGCCGGGCCUCAAAGCUGGGAAGUAACUCACUACUGAGGUCACGUUGCUGGACGUCAAAUGGACGCAACCCUCCUUUGACGCCAUGAGCUGCACCUGUCUGGCAGUGGCCGCCUGAGUCUGCAGUGUCCUGGAUUCCUUGUGCCUAUGCUUCAAGAUUUCCUGGCUGCAUCUGUUUCCAACGAACUGUGACUUCUGGUUUCUUCUCUGAGUGUAUCUGUAUGGACCUGGCAUCACGCCAAACUAGCAUCAUCCUAGAAGCGUGCAUGCCGUCUCCACUUCCGACGUAACUACAGGGGACUCGGAAAGCCCAGACCUCGGUCUGAGGGGCAGGGCUGCGGAUGUAACGAAAGCCAAGUGGGUCUAGGGGGAGAUCAAGGAACCAGCAUCUCAGGCUGAGCCCACAAAGCACCAGAGGCUCCUCCUGACGGGCAAAGGACAGUCGCUUGACUGGAAUAGGAAGAGUGGGAUGUACCGUCUGGAAGCUGGAACUUUCCUGGAGCUGGCUGGCACUGAAGUCGGGGAUAGGAAGCCACGUGCGAUAACUGUUUUUGCUUCUGAUAAUGGGACCAAGGUGGCAGAAGGAGGCUGGAACUCUAGCACAGCUGGAACUCUUACACCCUCUGGUGGUCAGAGCCUCCCUAGCAGCACCCCGCUGAGAAGAACAGAUGUUGGAAACGCGCCUGCAGAGAUAGAAUUUCUGGAGUUUUUCGGAUUCUUCCCCAGAUCCCGACCACUAACAUCUUCAUUUCAGCCGUGAACACAAGCCUGCCUAGACUACUCGCCCUGGACUCCUGACUUACGAAACCAUAAAGUGAUAAAUGGGUAUUGUUGAAGCUGCUAAAUUUGGGUAAUAUGUUAUGCAGCAAUACAAAACUAAUACAGGAAGCUUUAUAAGCUUUACAAUAGCAGGCCAAAUGAGAAUCCCAGGCCCACAGGUAGAUGGAUUCUGGACUAGAGAAGAGACGUUCCUAACUUCCAACCAGUGGCGUAAGAGGCAGAAAGGAUAGUACUUCUCAUUUAUCAAGAUUAUAUCUGCUGCCAGGAGUUCCCUUGUGGCACUUGGUUAAGGAUCCAGCCUUGUCAAUGCAGCAGCUCUGUUGCUGCUGUAGCAAGGGCCCCUGGCCUGGGAACUUCCACAUGCCGCAGGUUCAGCCAAAAAAAAAAAAAUUAUAUCUGCUGUCUUAUUUCUUCAUGACUGCACACUUCUUUUCACUUUAUGACGUCAGCUGUCAUUGACACUCAUGAAAACUUAAGGAUGGAGAAGGGCUAGUUUGCUCUCUGUGACAGAUGGUAUUUUUCCAAAAAUGAAUCCUAUCCCAUGUGCCCCUCUUCUGAUAAGAUUCUGAUGUUUCUCUGUCAAGAUAUGGGAUCUAAGUUCCUUCGCUUGAAUCUAGCAGACCUGAGACUCUGGCGGGGGUAAUGCUAAGUGACUUUCAAAGCUAAGUCAUAACAGGUGACACACCCAGAUGGCUUGCUCUCUCAGGAUGCUCCUGGCAUCAUGAACCCAAGCCCCAUGCUGUGAGGAAGCCCAAGCAGCCACCUAGAAGCUACCCCUACACCCUUGCAGGAGUCCUGGCACCAACUGAGACACGAGAGUGAGAGAGACUUCAGAAGAUUCCCGCUCCCUGCCUUCAAGUCACUCCAGACAUAAACUGCUCUCACUAAGUCCUGUCCAAAUUGCUGAUCUGGAAGCAAAAUAAAUGUUGUUUUAAACCACUAAA